UCCCACAAUGGGGCGUGGGUGAAAAGGGAACCGGGUGAGAAUCCCGGACAGACGGUGCUGCUGUGUGCUCAACCGAUAACGUCUCGUCAAUCAGUCACUGGGACGCGACCUGUGCGACCUGGGAAGACGAUGAGACUGGAGCGAGUCAGAAGACCUGCCAAAUCG
rnacentral:ncRNA from 1 species